ACGAAGCCCAUUGCAGCUGCUGACCACUGCACAAGAUUAGAAUAUAACUCUUGUGCGUGUGACAACGGCUAUUGUGGGUAUUCCUAGCCAUCUC
rnacentral:pre_miRNA from 1 species